rnacentral:rRNA from 1 species
UACGUAGGGUGCAAGCGUUGUCCGGAAUUAUUGGGCGUAAAGAGCUCGUAGGCGGUCAGUCGCGCCUGCUGUGAAAACUCGGGGCUUAACUCCGGGCCUGCAGUGGGUACGGGCUGACUAGAGUGCGGUAGGGGAGACUGGAAUUCCUGGUGUAGCGGUGAAAUGCGCAGAUAUCAGGAGGAACACCGGUGGCGAAGGCGGAUCUCUGGGCCAUUACUGACGCUGAGGAGCGAAAGCGUGGGGAGCGAAUGGG